CUUAUUAUCUGCCACAAUGCACCUCUUUACACACUCAGACUAAACAUAUACACAAAAUCACUCCACUUUCCUAAUUCACAAACCCUAGCCGUUCAUUACAAUCCUCAAUCCUUUGUUGUUGCCUUUACCCUUCUACUAUGCGAAUAUAGUUGAGUUGUUGCUUCCCCGUUUUCCCCUUUUACUGUGUUUCUCUCCAACUCCUUAUUGUUCUUGUCUUCUUAUACUCUGCUUAUUUUUCCACUCAGUGAUUUUUCAAGGCAUAGUGGUCUUUUCUGCCUGCUGCUUAGAGGAAAUAUUUGCCCUGUGAAUACUUAUUGCUCUUUACCUAUUUGUGAAUCUGCCUGAAUGAGACAUUACCUUUGUGGCUUUUCUUAUGUAGCCUUCUGUUUCCCCUGUUGUUGUCAAUUUUAUGCUUUAGGCUUCAUAGAAUGCUUGACUUAACUUUUGCCUUAUACGUCUCCAGGAAAAAAAUAUAUUCCAAUGAAUCUCAUAUUAGCUUUUCUCAUUGAUUUGUUCGACAAUGGUUCUUGUAAUAAGCUGGAGUAAAUUUUUAUAAAUACUCUGUUACAAUUUCUUUUGUUACAAUUUCUUUUCCCUUUCAUUUGUCGCACAUCUAACUAUCGAAAAAGUUGUUCGCAUGAUGACUUAACAUAUUGUAUGUCUGAAUAUUGUUUGUUUUACAACUUUAUCAUUAUAUAUUAGAACGACGCUCACAAAAUGGAGCAGAGACUUAACAUCGUAGCAAUCACACCGAUGACUAAAGACUGGACUUGUAAACUCCAGGCCGUAGAUAAAGUUCGCCCAAGGGAGAGCAGGGAUCAGCUGACACGCUUUCAGAUAAUUAUUGUCCAGGAUGAGCACGAAGAACAGGUUUGCCUAAUAUUGUAUGGAGAUGAUAUUGGUCACUAUGCCAGAAUGAAUUGAUGCCUGUUGAACAUAUCAAUCAACAACUUAAAUAUAAACUUUUCAGGCUUCAGUUACAAAAAUUGUUAUUCAGAACGCCAGAUAAAAUAGCUAGUACCUUGGUUGUUCUUUGUUGUUCUAUCAUAUACUCCACAAGAAACCAUGUUUUUGGCAGAAUCUUCAGCAUCUACAUCAUCGGACGACGAAACCAAGAAAUAAAAAACGGAAACAACUACUCCAUCGAAAAUUCAUCAGAGCGUAGAGAACAAAAGCUACACCUGAUGAGCUCACCCAGAUGGUGUGGCGUGUACAACUGCAUUUUCCUAGGCCGCACUGAUCGUUACACUAGUAGUGCUUGAUGGAAGCUUUGGUGUUUGAUAGAAAUUUCAAAUGCUUGCCCGAAUCAACAAAAUGCUCAGUUUUUUUUUUUUUUUUUGUGUGUGUACAUUACUGUAAAUAGUGUGUACUUAUGUUUGUAAGCACAGGCUUUAGAUGUAGGAAACAGUUAUUUCACUUGAGCGACUUUUGUACAAUGUCUUAUCUGCGAGCUUCUAUUUUCCCUUUACGUUUACUGGGAAAAGACAUAUGUCUAACGUAGCAACAUAUUAGCUGUGGAUUCGCUUGCAUAGUACAAUGACUGCCUGCCUGUAAGCUCAUACAGUGGAGUUUUUAAAGAUGGUCUUAUUGACGAAAUUAUACAACAGAAUUGAUAUAAUAAGAUGGAAAACUAAAACAACGAUGUGAAUUUUGUUCAUAAAUCAUUCUUGAUUUUAAUACAACUUAAUAUUCAUAAUCGAUAAUCUUAGAAUUUACAUUUACAAGUUUUAAAAUAUCUUUACACCUUCACAAAUUUGUUGCACCUCUGAUCUCACACUUAUCUAUUUGUAGCUUCAAGAUAAGUACAACUUUCCAAUUGAAAAUGAAUUACUAAAGUAUUACAAAUUAACUGUAUGGAUAAUCACAUAAGAAGAAUUUUAUCUAUUACAUGUAUAAAAAGCUGGCAAUACAAUGGUAACAUGAUAAGAACUUCCAGCAAAAAAAAAAAAAAAGACCUUUGUUAGAUGUAUAACUAUACUAAUAGAAAAUAUUAUAGAAAUUACCCUAGAGUCGGCUGCUUAUACUAGAAGCUUUCCUACAUCUUACACCUACUAUACACAGUGACCACCUCAUUUUAUUUCUAUUUACCACAAUCAAAAUUUCCACCCAUCUAAAAUUUCCACAUUUUAUGCACCUUCCACAUACGCUUGGUCUCAUACUGUCAAUAUUACAAACACUGUACAAGUUCACGUUUCUGUCAAUAAAUCUUCAUGUUAAUGACACGGUGCAACAAUUCUAAACAAUGUGCUUAAAUUAUCCAACAGCAGAAAUUACAUAUCAAAACAUACAAUUUUAAAACGCAACAUAACUGUUGUAGAAUCUAUUGCCAAUCAACAUAAACUGUGUGAUAAAACAUCUUGUUAGUUGCCCAAAUAAGAAAAAAAUUAUCAUUAAUUUUUUUUGACACGGCUGUAGGCAUUUUUUAGCUUGAAGUGCAAACCCAUAUUUGUUGUACCAUGGUUUUGGAAUAUUCGAACA